AAUCGAGGCCCCGUAAUUGGAAUGAGUACACUUUAAAUCCUUUAACGAGGAUCAAUUGGAGGGCAAGUCUGGUGCCAGCAGCCGCGGUAAUUCCAGCUCCAAUAGCGUAUAUUAAAGUUGUUGCAGUUAAAAAGCUCGUAGUUGGAUCUCAGGAUUUGGAUGGAUGGUUCGCUUUCGGGCGCUACUAUCUGUCUGACCUACUCUAGUCGUGGAUGCCUUGGGUGCUCUUAAUUGAGUGCUUUUGGUGCCCGACGCAAUUACUUUGAAAAAAUUAGAGUGCUCAAAGCAGGCGUAUUGCCUGAAUAGUGUUGCAUGGAAUAAUGAAAUAGGAGUUUACUUCUAUUUUGUUGGUUUUCGGAGGUGAACUAAUGAUUAACAGGGACAGACGGGGGCAUUUGUAUGGAGGGGUUAGAGGUGAAAUUCUUGGAUCCUCUCCAGACAAACUACUGCGAAAGCAUUUGCCAGGAAUGUUUUCACUAAUCAAGAACGAAAGUCAGAGGUUCGAAGACGAUCAGAUACCGUCCUAGUUCUGACCAUAAAUGAUGCCAUCUAACAAUCCACGAAGUUUGCUUGUACGAACUCGUGGGCGGUCCCCGGGAAACCAAAGAUUUUGGGUUCCGGGGGAAGUAUGGUUGCAAAGCUGAAACUUAAAGGAAUUGACGGAAGGGCACCACCAGGAGUGGAGCCUGCGGCUUAAUUUGACCCAACACGGGAAACCUCACCCGGCCCGGACACUUUUAGGAUUGACAGAUUGAAGGCUCUUUCUUGAUCAAGUGGUUGGUGGUGCAUGGCCGUUCUUAGUUGGUGGAGCGAUUUGUCUGGUUAAUUCCGAUAACGAACGAGACUCUACUCUGCUAAAUAGAACGUUGAUAUAUAAAAGUCAGUGCUGACUUCUUAGAGAGACUAACGGCGUUUAGCCGUGUGAGAAAGAGCAAUAACAGGUCUGUGAUGCCCUUAGAUGUCCGGGGCCGCACGCGCGCUACACUGACUGCAGCAACUAGUAUGCUCCUGGUUUGAAGAAACUGGGUAACCUGGUUGAAUUGCAGGCGUGACAGGGAUCAGAGUUUGCAAUUAUCCUCUGUGAACGAGGAAUUCCCAGUAAGCGCAAGUCAUUAGCUUGUGCUGAUUACGUCCCUGCCCUUUGUACACACCGCCCGUCGCUACUACCGAUUGGAUGGUUUAGUGAGGUCUUCGGAUUGGUGCUGAUGGAGUGGUUCUCUGCUCUGUUAGUGCCGAGAAGAUGAUCAAACUUGAUCAUUUAGAGGAAGUAAAAGUCGUAACAAGGU
rnacentral:rRNA from 1 species